GCCAGUGGUACCAAGGGCUGGCAGCCAGGGCCCUGCAGGGAACAGACCCAAGAGCUGACAUGGGGAUGUCUGCUGAAGGGUGUAUUUACCACGAAAAGGGCAGGGCUGGGCGGCUGGGCAGCCAGUUUCACCCUCGCACAGGGUACCUGGCAAGACCAGCGGCCGGAGGUGACGUCCUCAGUAGAGAACGGUGGCCACUGGAAACUGCGCAGCUGGAAGGAGAAACGCUCGGGCCUCUGGUGGGGACCAGCCUGGGGUGGGGUCGGCCAGGGUCAGCUGCCUUUCCUCCAUGCUGGGACAGAGAUGUUGUGUGUGUGUGACAAAGCAUUUGAUAGCACACCAAAAGUUUCCUCCGUUAUGUGUGUGUGAAGUGUUUGACCAGGUCAGAAGUCUUGUUCCACGCGCAUGUGCUCACGCAGACAGAAGCGGAGGGGCCCUGUCACUCUGCCUCACACCGCUGAACCACAGAGGUCUCCCACUCGUCAGGCUUGCGGCUCAGCCGCUAAGUGUGUCAGGUGUGCAUCCCGGGCUCUCCUUCGUGCUCUGCCCUAUGGUGGCACAGGCGGUGAGGUUAGACAGGUACCGGUCAGAUUAUGGUGGCACAGGCGAUGUGAGGUUAGACAGGUAUCGGUCAGAUUACAGUGGCACAGGCGGUGUGAGGUUAGACAGGUACCGGUCAGAUUACGGUGGCACAGGCAGUGGGGUUAGACAGGUACCGGUCAGAUUAUGGUGGCACAGGCGGUGUGGGGGAUUAGACAGAUACUGGUCAGAUUACAGUGGCACAGGCGGUGUGGGGUUAGACAGGUGCCGGUCAGAUUACGGUGGCACAGGCGGUGUGGGGUUAGACAGGUACCGGUCAGAUUACGGUGGCACGGGCGGUGGGGUUAGACAGGUACCAGUCAGAUGCACGGGCUCCCCACACCCCUGCUGUGGCUUUGGCAGUAAGGACAGGACGCACCCACAUCACAAGAGGAGCACAGGCAGGGGUGUUGGUGUUGGGGCAGCCCUCAGGGUCUCCAGACCCUGGCCCCCCUCACACAGCAGCCCAGGAAGGAAGGGCAGAGUCCCAGGUGUCACCUGGUGGGGAUCUCCCAGGAGCUGCCCCUUUCUGGAAGUCACAGGACAGGAAUGACAGGUCGGGGGACUGCAGGAAGCUGCCACCUCUGGGGUCAGAACAUGCCCAGGCUGCAGGGGCUCCAUUGCGGGGUCUUCGAGAGCCAGACAGCCUGCCUUGUGCUGCACACCUGGCUUUGCUCUGUGCAGAACCCAGCACACGUGAUUUUGUGUGACAUGCCAACAGCCUGGCUCCCUGGACAGGAGGCCUGCCCUGGGGUAGUGGCUGCAGGAGGAGGGUGGGGCAGGCACCCAUGAGUCUGUCCAGCCUUGUCACAGAUGCGUCGCCCGCCCUGCAGUCCUGAUUUCAGCUCACCUCAGAGUAAAUCAGAAUAAACCACACCUGGACUUUCACGAAUGCAUUGUCGACGCUUUCAGUUCACCCCUUUCUUUGCUAACUUUCUUCCUAUUUUCUUCUAACGCAAGAGCUUAUUAAUUCAAUAUUUAUCAUUUUGAAUAACUUUUUCCCUUUUUAGUAACAAAAUGUACUCCACUAUUAGUAAAAUGUAUUUACUAUUUUAGUAACAAAAUUAUACUUGCCUAAUCAUGUUUAAAAUAUAGUGAUGUGAACAAUUCA